GGGAAUGUGGCUUAGUGGAAGAGUGCUUGCUUAGCAUGCAUGAAGCCCUGGGUUCAAUUCCUCAGUACCA
rnacentral:tRNA from 1 species